UAGCUCAGCUGGGAGAGCGCCUGCCUUACAAGCAGGAUGUCGGCGGAACGACCCGCU
rnacentral:tRNA from 1 species